GGAAUUCUAUGAUUUCUGGCUAUGCAAGAAACACCUAUGCUUUCGAAAGCUUAAGGCUUUUCUGUCGAAUGAUUUUGGAAGGAGCCAAACCUGAUCAAGUAACCUUUAUAGCUGUGCUUGGGGCAUGUGAUCAGAUCACAGCUUUGCAAUUUGGCAUGUCUGUUCACUCCUACCUUGUUAAGAAAGGGUUUGGUGCAACUACCAUUGUAGCAACAGCCCU
rnacentral:misc_RNA from 1 species